AGAGUUUGAUCAUGGCUCAGGAUGAACGCUAGCUACAGGCUUAACACAUGCAAGUCGAGGGGAAACGACAUCGAAAGCUUGCUUUUGAUGGGAGUCGACCGGCGCACGGGUGAGUAACGCGUAUCCAACCUGCCCACCACUUGGGGAUAACCUUGCGAAAGUAAGACUAAUACCCAAUGACGUCUCUAGAAGACAUCUGAAGGAGAUUAAAGAUUUAUCGGUGAUGGAUGGGGAUGCGUCCGAUUAGCUUGUUGGCGGGGUAACGGCCACCAAGGCGACGAUCAGUAGGGGUUCUGAGAGGAAGGUCCCCANAUUGGAACUGAGACACGGUCCAAACUCCUACGGGAGGCA
rnacentral:rRNA from 1 species